rnacentral:tRNA from 1 species
GGGGAUUUAGCUCCGUGGUAGAGCGCUUACCUAGAAAGAAAAAGGUCCUGGGUUCGGUCCCCAGCUCCA